GGCAAUUUGUUGAUGAAAGCAAUUUAAUAGGAGGUUAAUUUAAGUCACCACAACAGAAAUGUACUUAUAAGGACAAAGGGGUAAAUGAAUAACCCCCAGCAUAGUCUUCUCCAUCCUAGCCCAGCAGUUCUGUUCCCCCUAUUGGAGAGACCAGCCUCCUGGUCUUGCUCCUUCAGGUCCUGUGGGUACCAGUGGUCCUGUACUUCAUGGUAGCUGGUGGGAUGGCAGCAUGGGGACAUGGGACACUGCUUGGAGACCACUCCAGCCAGAGGUCCUUCAAAGGGAAAUGCCUGGACAGCCCAAUUCAGAACAGGCCUCCCCUGUGGCAGCUUGGAGUUGUAGGAUGUGUUUUCACCCUCAGUGAAUGCUAAAAUGAAACAAUGAAGGACCUGAUACAGACCCCUCUGAAACCAAUGUGUUUCUUCCCUUCCCUUCCCUUCCCUUCCCUUCCCUUCCCUUCCCUUCCCUUCCCUUCCCUUCCCUUCCUUCCCUUCCCUUCCCUUCCCUUCCCUUCCUUCCCUUCCCUUCCCUUCCCUUCCCUUCCCUUCCCUUCCCUUCCCUUCCCUUCCCUUCCCCUUUUCUCCUCCAGGACAGCUGUGAUUACUCACACCUCAGCAGUGUCUGGAGCAGAAUAGAAAGGGUUGUGCAAACAGACACGCACACAAUCAUUGACUGUGAGAAGAGAGUGGCAUUAAGAUGGAAAAUGUGAAUGGUCUGCUCUGAUGGACGCACCAAAGCCCAGAAAUGGGUGGUGAGGAAGCAUCCCCAGCAGCAGGACAAAAGUCUAUGGAAGAAUGGCUUCCAGAAAGGCAGAGCCAAGCCAUGUCUGUGCAUACAGUGCCUGAAAAGAGUCAGUCUGCUGCAAAACCCUCCAUGGCUGCGUAGGGAGCAGAAGACACAAGGUGACAGCAUGGACAGCAGCAGCCUGAAUAACCCAGAGGAGCCCAGUGAAACCCAGGGGCAUUGGAGGCAUGUACCUCUUACAGCUGUGGAGUGAUUUAUUGAAAACCUAACGAAGGAAUUGCCAGGCUCACUUUGUUUCCAUGGUACCAUAAAAAAUGGAUGGGAAGUGACUGGGCUGUCUUGUAGUUUGAAUGUUUCAUUGGCAUGUCGCGGAAACCUCCAGAGGAUGCCUGGAGGGCAUGAGAACUGGCUGGUGGAAUGUGCUAGUUUGUUAAUUUAAUAGGAUACAGC
rnacentral:lncRNA from 1 species